UGCACUCCAGCCUGAGCCACAGAGCAAGACCCCAUCUCAAAACAAACAAACAAAAUGUAAUUCCAAGCAGAGCCUUAGAUCUGUUUGCUGCAGCUUCUCACUAAACUGUCUUCAUUUUCAUGAAAUGUAGAUUUCACAUUCAUGAGCCCUUCCAGCCCAAGGUGUCGGUGGCGAGGCAUACAUUAUUGGACUGCACUAGUAUUUCACAAGAUGUCACCCCAAAUGAGCAGCUCAUGUCUGAGUCUUGGGAUCUGUGGGGCCAUGGCUUCAAAUUCAGAACCACACCUGAACGUUUUCAAGUGGCAGGGCCACUGGGACCAGCCCAGCAGGAGGGAGAUGGAGAAAAUCAAGGGGUGUGGCACUGCUCCCAGCUGCAGCAACAAGGCCUCCAGACUGAAACCACUCCUUCUAGAACCUCCUGGUCUGGAAAGACUGGUUAGCUGAGAGUGAAGACACACUCCUCAAGUCUCACACCCAAGCCCUCCUUUGCUCCACCCUGAGAAGUCAGCAUGAGGCAUCAGGGGCAUCAGCAGUUUUCCCCUUUCCAAGACAUUUCCAUUACCUGAACAAUGAAAUUAUGCCCAUAUUUAGAGAAAAAAAUGACUGUUGAAAGCUGUAUUGUCCCAUUAAAUAGAUCUGACUAACAAUUAGUUGGCUUAAUGUAGAAUCAACUUGAGUUUCUUUUUUCCUAAGCAGAUGGAAACUCUACAAGAGUAUUAAUGAAAGAAUACAAUGAUUAUGAAAUAUUUCACAGGAAUGCAAGCUGAGGAAUUCAACAGAUUCAAAAUAAGCAAUAACUCAGAUCGAAAAGGGUUUACAAGUAGAAAAGGUGAAUUCUCACACUGCAGGUUUAAUCUUCUCUUGGGUCCUCGCGGUAUACUGGAUUCAAAUCUAGCUUAACCACUUAAGUAGUUGUGUGACCUUAGGCAAGUCAUUUAAAUAUUUUAACCUCAGUUUCCCAUCUGUAAACUGGGAAGUUUGUUAUGAGGCUUGAGAUAACAAACAUACUAUACCAGGCACAUCACCGUGUGUUUGCCGGGUGAUGGUAACUAUUAUUAACCACAGACCUGAUAUUUUUAUAAAAUAUACAAGUUAAAUUUAAUAAUCAUGUAAAUGUUACCUGCCACAUACUCAGCUAAACUAGAUCUUGCUUUGCAAUCGUUUCCCAGAAAAGCGUUUAGACUAUCUAUGCUAUGAGUCACUCGAGCUCUGGGCCUGUUUUCUCAGACUCUCCCUUGCCUGUCGCAUCCAAUUCUUAGCCGAAGCUGUCACUCCACCUUGGCAAUACCUACUUUCCCAUCCACCGCCCUCACCCUGGUUCAGACUUUCAUUCCCUCCCUCCUUCACUGGUGCAAUGGCUUCCUUAAGCCAAUGCCUAAGCAGUCCAGAAGCUCAGUUAUGAUCGUCUAACUUCCCUGCUCCUCCAAUGGAAGAGACUUUCAAUGGCUUCAGUGAACACCUGCACCAGCUUCCCUCUGCCUAUCCAAAUCCCUCUCCAGGGCAUUCAAGGUUUCGAAUGCCUUGGUCAAAGAGGAUGCUUCCUCCUUUCACCUUACUGCCUCCCUGCUCAGAGCGAAUGCUCAAAAAGGAGAUCACUCCACAGGCCUCGCAGACUUUUCUCAAGCUCUUCUCUCCCCCGGAAGGCUCUCUGCCCACCCAUCUUGACACAGCUGAAAUCCUCCAAAGUCCAGUUCGACAUCACUUCCCUUAUAAAGUCUUCCCAGUGCCCCCACGACAGAUGUUCUCUCACCUCCUUGUGACGUCUCUGAAGUCAUGUACACCCCUCCUGGGCAUUCCGCUUUUGUGUGCUAGUCUUCGUGUACUUAUCCUUGGAAGGGCCUACGCUCCUUUCAAGACUAUAGAUUUCCACCUCGAUCUCCCCUGACACAACACAGAGUGCAGCCGAUGCUCAGUAAACACUUGCUGAAUGAAGGACUUAAUGGAAUGUGAGAUACUUUCAUGGUGUAAUUACAGGCCUGUCCAUUCUAAAAGUCAGGCUGUGAAGGCACAGGGAAAAACAAGGUGAGGAUCCUUGGGUCCUCAGGCCAACCCAGCCAUAAGUGGAUUCUGGGAUCUUGGGCACGUCCUCAGCUUCCUGUCUCUAAAGUGUGCAUGUGGGGUUUCUGCCUAGGCUAAGUGAUCCUUAGGGGCCCCCUGGUCUAAAAUUCAGGCAAAUGGACCUGUUUGUCUCAUGGUAAGAAAUAAGCUUCUCUUAAAACCUAAUUUAAGACUAACUUUAAAAUGUUUAUGAAAUAAUGAUCACAUGUAUCUCAGUUUUGAAAUCAUGAGAUCUGAAGAAAAAUAAGCAUUAAUAUUAUAACCACAUAUUUCCGAAGCUUAAUGACUAUUUUUUGCUUUUAAUCCUCCCACAAAUCCACCCUUUGAUGGAUGAAAGAUCUAACUGUGAGGCUUUGUUACUUUGAUAACAAAUUUCACUACAGAUUUGUAAUUUGUUUUAAUGACAGGAAUAAGACUAGAGUAAUUCUGCUGUAAUUGAAAACAGUAUUAAUAUAACAUCCUAUCCAAGAAGAAUCCAAAAUUUACAUUUCAAGACAUGUACAUGUCUAUUAUUUCAUUAUCAAGGUUGUAACAUUUACCAAAUGUUAACAAAAUUAAGUAGCUGCAGAUUCAAUUCAAUCUAAAAUAAAGACACAAAGAACAGGCGGGUGGUAGGGGAAAAAAGGGGGAUUAUGAUACAGUGAGAUCUAAUACUGUCCUAAAAAUGGGUAAGUGCUGUUCGUGGAAAGGACAGAGAGAGGGAGAGAGCUGUUUUAAAGUCAUUUUCAAAGGAAAACUAAGAGUUGGGCCCUCUACACAUUCAAAUUACUUUAUUUAGGGAAGGGCUAAAUACAAAACACUCAGCUCGAAAAUCACCAAUCUAUUAAUAAUUCAGCCAUAAAUAGCAGUUUUUGAAAUAAAUGAGUUUAAAGUCAACCAAUAGUUUUUAUACUAGUUUUGGAGCUUAAAAAAAAAGAAAGAAAGAAAAGAAGAAAACCACAAAAACCUUUAUUUAGAAAAUCUUCGGGUCAGAAAAAUACUUAUGAAAUUCUUAAUCAUCAUUCACUUAGCAGAGGGCAGUGGCUCCCUUGGGCAUAGAGGGCACCCUGCUUCUACAAAGUGCAUGCCACGGCCAAACAUAUCCCUCCACACAAAACCAGAAUGCCACCAGAAAAACUGCGACAUGCCCUGUCUUCAGCCAGUCGCUAUUAUUUGAAAACGCAGCAGUCAGCAUUUGUGGGCGAUUUUGUAGUCAGUAGCACCAUUGCAGGCUGGGACAGGCUCGGGAGGAAACUCCAUUGCCAGGAUCCCCAGAAAGAAUGACCGCCUCUCAACUCAAGCCCUGAGCCUGACGCCCUGCUGGCGGGCAGAGCAACAUUAAUGAGGAGAGAAAACAUCCUUCCUCAAAGUCAGGUAAUUUUUCACUUGGGUCUCUUUCCCCUUCCCAGAGAUGGGAGACUUGAUAAGUUUUAUAAGUAGGCUUUAAGUUGGAAAAACAGAACACAAGAAAUGAUACUACACGAUGAAAAAACAUGGAGCCUGCCCAAAAUUAAAUGUUUCAGUGAGGAACCCUAACAAAACAUGUAUCUUGAUGCAGUUCAUUAACCAAUUAAUUUAUUAAAGUUUUACUUCUCUACAAAAGGUAUAAGAAACCAAGGGAGUGAAAUAUUCGAUUAAUUAUACUGAUUAUUGUCUAUUUAAAAGAUAAGAAAUCCAGCUAGCAAAAGCAUAGUUAUAAAUAAUAAUCAAAAUAAAUACUUGGUUCAUAAAAAUGCCAAAAAGAGCUGCUAAAGAAUCCUUCACAUUCCAUUCUGACUUGGAUUUAAACUAUGUGUAACCCGCACAUUUAAAGGAUAGAUGUGCGUCUCAAAUCCUGGAGGACUGCGAGAGAAAAUUUAAAUUUCAGAUUUAAAUGGCUGGCAAAAUUUUAAAACAAAUGUAAUGAAAACCCAACUUUUCAUUCCUCCUAUUGCUUGGCACAUUUUCCCUGGAAAUCCCCAGACACAUUUUGUUCAGGAAACAAAGAACUCCCAAGAUUGAGACAAUUCUUUGCUAACUCCAAAAAAAAAAAAAAGGUGAAAUAGAUUUCCAGGAUGCUCCAGAAAUAAAUGAAUCCAAGCAGCAAACAGGUUGCAACUCGAGUAGUCCCAGCCUUCAAAACUGCUUGCAAAACAAAACUGCCCUGGAGCGCAUUCAGGUUGCUCCUCCCAGGCCUAGGGCCACAACGCCUGGUAAAUAACGUCCCGACGCUCAGCCUCUUUCCCAAAAGCCCAACGUGGGAAGAACUAGCAGGGGGCGGGGAGGUGGCGCGGGCUGCAAAACGCGCACCGCUCACGUGGGCAUGUAGAGUCCAGCUCCCGAGACCUGGGACAGGGUCUCUCCCCACCCACUCAAACGACGCCCUCGGUCUGUUUCCGCGAGGAUCCGGAGAAGCGGAUCCUCUCAGCGGGGGGUCUUCCCGGGGCACCUAGGCCAGGGCGGGCCCCCAGCGUCGUCCUCCCCCCCACACUCCCCUGCCCACACAUUCUGGAUCAAAGCAGACGCGCGGCUGGCGCUCUGAGAUCCAAGGCACACUGGGGUCUUUCAUCCGGUGUUUUUAAAAAGGAGGAAACAGAAGGCUCCGAGGCAGGGCCACAGGUGCGCUCGCCCGCGGGGCUGCGGCGCGGACGACCGAGGGGAACAGGCAAGUCCCCGCCGAACUUCGAGCGCCGGGCCCGGCAGCCACCCCGGCGGGCAAGUUUCGUUUGCGGGACAGGGGAAGCCGAAGCGGGGCCUCCUCGGGACAGGACCCCGCGCCGCCCGGACGUGCAGCCUUCAUACAAAUGUCCUCGGGUGGCCGAGGAGUCCAAGAACCGCCGCAGUCGUGGUCUCAGGGUUACCGGGGAUUGGGGGUGAGCGCGUAAAGACUGCGGAGCCCGGAGCACCACUCGGCCACCAGAUAGUGCCGGGGCCCCGCUCCUUUCCUCUUUUACAUUGAUUACGGUUGGAGAGGCUGGGUUUUGUGGUCGCAGGCCCACCUCCCCUGACCUCCCAUUCGCGGGCUGGGACAAAGGCGACUGCAGCCGAGUCCGGCAGGCAGGGGACAGCCCCGCGCUGGCCCGACGCCCCCUCUGACCACCCGCCCGGGCUCGCGGGAGGGGAGAAAGAAAACCACGACUUCCUGGAAAAGUCUUCCCCGUAAAUAUUAAUCUCUUUGGCAUAAAGAGGAAAACACUACAGCUAUUUUUUCAUGGGAUAACAUAAAAAUAUAGGUUCCAAUUUAUUUUAUCUUUUCCCUUUUGAUGCUCUUUUUAAACGAGGAGUAAAGAUUUCAACUCCAGGUCCAGUUUCCAAAUUUUGUACCAGAACCUUGCGGAUGCUUGUCUCUCGCGCCCUUCUCCGCAGACCCAAUCCUCUCCGGAACUCAGAGCUGUUCACCCAAGUCAGCGGCGGAGGCCUCCUGGGACUUGAGCCUGAGGGUGGCAAAGAACCCUAGACAGAGAUCAGCUUGGUACCGAUGAGUGACGCGGAGCUUGAACAUUCCAGCGACUUGCUCCAGAGCCACUCCCAGUUAAGAGGCUGAGUGUUAACUGCACCGUAGGCUCCACGAACCGAACCGGGUUUGGAUACAGACACAGUCACACCAUCCAUGAAAAGCUGUUUCUAUAAUAUGGAAAACUGUUAAAUGACGCUUUAGUAAAAGCCAUUUAAAGAUCUUUUUAAUAAAUUUUUCAUCUUUCCAAA